rnacentral:sRNA from 1 species
CCGGAUCGGUCACCGCGCUCUCCCGUCCCUCGAAGCGGCGGCCGGCCCGGAUGGAAAGACACGCCCAUCGGCGGCGCGUCGCCUGCUUAACCCUGGCGGCGCGCC